GGGAACACCGGCGGCUCUAGUGGUAGCAAUUUUUAUUGGGACCUAAAGCGUCCGUAGCCGGUUUAAUAAGUCUCUGGUGAAAUCCUGCAGCUUAACUGUGGGAAUUGCUGGAGAUACUAUUAGACUUGAGACCGGGAGAGGUUAGAGGUACUCCCAGGGUAGAGGUGAAAUUCUGUAAUCCUGGGAGGACCGCCUGUUGCGAAGGCGUCUAACUGGAACGGUUCUGACGGUGAGGGACGAAAGUUAGGGGCGCGAACCGGAUUAGAUACCCGGGUAGUCCUAACUGUAAACGAUGCGGACUUGGUGUUGGGUGGCUUUGAGCUGCUUCAGUGCCGAAGGGAAGCUGUUAAGUCCGCCGCCUGGGAAGUACGGUCGCAAGACUGAAACUUAAGGAAUUGGCGGGGGAGCACCACAACGCGUGGAGCCUGCCGGUUUAAUUGGAUUCAACGCCGGACAUCUCACCAGAGGCGACAGCUGUAUGAUAGCCAGGUUGAUGACUUUGCUUGACUAGCUGAGUGGAGGUGCAUGG
rnacentral:rRNA from 1 species